rnacentral:rRNA from 1 species
UACAACAUAUCAUUGAUGCACCAUAUCCCAUUAGAACUCCAUAAUUAAGCAUGCUCGCGCUAGAGUAGUAUUGGGAUGGGUGACAGUCCAGGAAGUCCUAGUGUUUUAC